rnacentral:misc_RNA from 1 species
GAUGAAGAACGUAGUGAAAUGCGAUAAGUAGUGUGAAUUGCAGAAUUCAGUGAAUCAUCGAAUCUUUGAACGCACAUUGCGCCCCUUGGUAUCCCGAGGGGCAUGCCUGUUCGAGCGUUAUUUCACCACUCAAGCCUGGCUUGGUGUUGGGCGACGUCCCCUUUGGGGACGCGCCUCGAAACGCUCGGCGGCGUGGCACCGGCUUUAAGCGUAGCAGAAUCUUUCGCUUUGGAAGUCGGGGCCCCGUCUGCCGGAAGACCUACUCGCAAGGUUGACCUCGGAUCAGGCAGGGAUACCCGCUGAACUUAAGCAUAUCAAUAAGCGGAGGA